rnacentral:ncRNA from 1 species
GGCUCGCUCCCUGUAGCCGGAGGGUUAUUUUCCAAGGGUUGAGUCGCAGGACCCCCGGUUCGAGUCUCGGGCCGGCCGGACUGCGGCGAACGGGGGUUUGCCUCCCCGUCAUGCAAGACCCCGCUUGCAAAUUCCUCCGGAAACAGGGACGAGCCCCUUUUUU